UAAAAUAUUAAAAUAAAAACUUUAAUUAAAACCUAAUAAAAUUCUAAUCAAAUCUUAGUCAAAUCUUAAUCAAAUUCUAAUCAAAUCCUAGAAAAAUCUUAAUAAAAUCCUAAACAAAUUCUAAACAAAUUAUAAUUAAAUCCUAAUCAAAUCUUAAAUAAAACCUAAAUAAAUCCUAAAUUUAUUCUAAAUAAAUCUUAAUCAAAUUCUAAUCAAAUUCUAACCAAAUCCUAACCAAGUCUUAACCAAAUCCAAAAAAAUUUCUAAAUUAAUUCUUAAAUGAAUCCUAAAUAAAUCCUUAUUAAGUCCUAAAUAAAUCCUAAAUAAAUCCUAACUAAAUCCUAAAUAAAUCUUAACCAAAUUCUUAAAAAAUCCUAAAAAAAUCCUAACCAAACUGUAAACAAAUCCUAAACAAAUCCUAACCAAAUCCUAAACAUAUCCUAACAAAGUCUUAAUCAAAUCCUAAAAAAUCUCUAAAAUAAUUCUUAAAUAAAUCCUAAAAAAUCCUAAAAAAAUCCUAAACAAGUCCUAACCAAAUCUUAACCAAACUCUAAACAAAUCCUAACCAAGUCCUAACCAAAUCCUAAACAAUCCCUAAACAAAUUCUUCAAUAAAUCCUAAAUAAAUCUUAAAUAAGUCUUAAAUAAACUCUAAAUAAAUCUUAACUAAAUCCUAAAUAAAUCCCAACCAAAUGCUAAACAAAUCCUAAAAGAAUCCUAACCAAACUCUAAAUAAAUCUUAACCAAACUCUAAACAUAUCC
rnacentral:lncRNA from 1 species